UGUUAAUGACAGGAUUCGAACCCAUGUCAACUACGUGAGACAAAGAGGCACUGGCCACUACGCUACCACAAC
rnacentral:tRNA from 1 species